CAAAAUCAUCUUAUUUUUUUUCUUAAUGAGCGCUUUGAAAUCAAAUGAAAACGAAAAUCGCAAAAAAAUUACGACCCUUCAAAUUGUGUAUUGCAAAACUAAUCGGAAUCGUCUUCCGUCUAGUAAUGAUUUAUCGUUGCUUACAGAUAAAAAUGAAAUAACCAUAUAUAUCUUACCUUCCUAACUUCUCACCAACAACAGUGGACGCGCUUCCAUCCCCUGUAUCAGCUCUUUUUUUACUUAUCGGACUUUUAGCAUACAAUUUUUAUUUUUAAGUGGUGGUUUCGAUUUUAGUUGUUGCCGUAAAGCUCUUUAUGUGAUUGAGAUCCCACAAUCUACAAUAUUUUGCCAUGGGCAUUAUAAUAU